ensembl:lncRNA
CUUAAACGUAUUAUGUUUAUAAUGGUUCAGAUACUUUUUUCCAAAUAUACACAAAAGCGGCUCAAGCAAAACAUUGUUGACACAUCAAUUUUUAUUAAAACAAAAAUAUCAUCUUUUGUGUUAUUUUCAAUAACAUUUUCUGAAUGGCACCAUUUACAGGCAUACGUAUGGUAUUGUUGACAACGCAGUAUCUUUGAUGGAUUUCCAUUAAUGAAAUUACCUAUGAUAUUUUCCCAUGUUGUUAAAACCUGCACCCUGUACAAUCUUUCACUUGCUCUGUUCAACCUGUUCUAAACUCCAUGGUAAAAGCACAGUAAAAUGCAUCCAUUGCAUUAAUUUACUUGAGAUUACACACAGAUCUUUGCCCAUAGCGUCAACCCAAACACCAUUUAUGAUCAAACAUGGCGGCACAGAAAACAGAGGCAGAGGUGUAGAUGAUGGAUAGGACUCCUAGCUGGAAGACGAGCAGGAAACAGGGCAGGGCUGAAGGAAAGCAAUCAUGGCCGGUGGGUUUCAUUUAGCUUCUUGCAUGGCUUUCUUCUCCUCUUCAAUUUCUGUUUGAACACAAGAGAGACAGACGUUAGGUGAUCUUUAUCAUAUAGGUGAAGCUUGUCAUCCUGUAUCCGUCCGUUUUAGAGCAUAGUCUAAUGCAUCAGUGUCAAAAGCUCAAAAUAUAGGUUUGAUUUUUGCUGAUAAGAGGGAUGGUUUGACUCAUAAGUUUGAUUCAAGUUAAUAAUCCAUCAGAACCUCCAGUCAAUGGUCAAAUGUCUCUAUCUCUUGGUUUUUCAAAAUGAUCAGGUGUGUACUGGCUGAGUAUAUUACAUUCAAAGGGGUGCAAUAGCAAUUUACGGUGCAUUUUUACAAAUUUGGGAAACAUACAUUAAAAAUAAACCCUCAAAAUCAAGCUACUGGCACAGAAAAUUUUGUGUCUAGUAUGGAACAAGUUUCACAAGAACUGAAUCCUACAUAUCCCAUAGUGCAACUUCGUAAUGAGCUAAAUGUCUGCCUUUCAUUGUGACACAGGCUUUCUGUUUUAAAUCUGUAGUCCAACACAGUGACCCUGAGAACAUCACUCUGACAUAAUAAGAGUUAUUCUCACAGAUUCAUCUCUAUUGAG